rnacentral:misc_RNA from 1 species
GCUGAAGAACGUAGCGAAAUGCGAUAAGUAAUGUGAAUUGCAGAAUUCAGUGAAUCAUCGAAUCUUUGAACGCACAUUGCGCCCGCCAGUAUUCUGGCGGGCAUGCCUGUUCGAGCGUCAUUUCAACCCUCAGGCCCAGCUUGGUGUUGGGGAUCGGCACAGGCGCCCUCGGGCGCCCGCCGUCCCCUAAAUCUAGUGGCGGUCCCGCUGCAGCCUCCUCUGCGUAGUAGUUUUCUCCUCGCAAGGGCAGCUCGGUGGCGACCUCGCCGUAAAACCCCCAACUUCUGAAAGGUUGACCUCGAAUCAGGUAGGAAUACCCGCUGAACUUAAGCAUAUCAAUAAGCGGAGGA